rnacentral:rRNA from 1 species
GACGAACGCUGGCGGCGUGCCUAAUACAUGCAAGUAGAACGCUGAAGGAGGAGCUUGCUUCUCUGGAUGAGUUGCGAACGGGUGAGUAACGCGUAGGUAACCUGCCUUGUAGUGGGGGAUAACUAUUGGAAACGAUAGCUAAUACAGCAUAACAGCAGUUGUAGCAUGACAACUGUUUGAAAGGUGCAAUUGCACCACUACCAGAUGGCCCUGCGUUGUUUUAUCUUGGUGGGGGGGUAACGGCUCACCAAGGCGACGAUACAUAGCCGACCUGAGAGGGUGGUCGGCCACACUGGGACUGAGACACGGCCCAGACGCCUACGGGAGGCAGCAGGAGGGAAUCUUCGGCAAUGGGCGGAAGUCUGACCGAGCAACGCCGCGUGAGGGGAGAAGGUUUUCGGAUCGUAAAGCUCUGUUGUAAGAGAAGAACGAGUGUGAGAGUGGAAAGUUCACACUGUGACGGUAUCUGACCAGAAAGGGACGGCUAACUACGUG